CCUCCGACGCCUCCCCGCCAUCCUCUGCAGAGCCCAACUUUGCAUCACGCAGCAGCCUCCUGCCUAACGCCUGGGCUGAAGGGGAGGGGGAAAAUGUGCAACUCAUCUUCUCACAGAGAGCCUCUUCCUCCAGGAGUGGAGAGCAAAGGAGAACGGCUUUAAUGGCUGCCGAUGGAUACAGGCACCACAGCCCAGCUCCAGCAGCAGAAAGCUAUCAUGCUGGAAUUCAUAAACAGAAAAGCUGUAUGUGAGACACAUGCCCUGCUACCACAGCCUCGGCUGGAGUCCUGCAUCCAAGUUUGGGCACUGCUCAUCAAGGACGUCAGGCCCCAGCUGGAGAGAGCCCAGAGGGCAGCAAAAGGAGUGACCAGAGACGUAGAAAACAGCCUCUGAGGAGAGGUGGAGGAAAACAGUCAACUCAUGGAACCAGAAGGCAGAGCAGAGAUGGGGUAACAGUUUUCCAUUCAUAAAAGACUUCUGUAGAAGA